UACGUGAUCCCAAAGCGUUAUCCGGAUUUAUUGGGCGUAAAGGGUCCGUAGGUGGCCAUAAAAGUCUUCGGUUAAAGCUCCAGAGCUCAACUUUGGUGAUGCCGGGGAUACUGUAUGGCUAGAGGGUAUUAGGAGUUGAUGGAACGGUCGGUGUAGGGGUGAAAUCCGUUGAUAUCGACCGGAACACCGAAAGCGAAGGCAUUCAACUAAGAUAACCCUGACACUGAGGGACGAAAGCGUGGGUA
rnacentral:rRNA from 1 species